GGCACUUUGGCGGAGUGGUUAACGCGAUGCCCUGCUACUCGACCAAGCUAGGCAUUUCCUUCGGGAGCGUGUGUUCGAAUCACACAGGUGUCG
rnacentral:tRNA from 1 species